GACGUAGGGCGCGAGCGUUGUCCGGAUUUAUUGGGCGUAAAGAGCUCGUAGGCGGCUUGUCGCGUCGUCCGUGAAAACCCACAGCUCAACUGUGGGCUUGCGGUCGAUACGGGCAGGCUAGAGUUCGGUAGGGGAGACUGGAAUUCCUGGUGUAGCGGUGAAAUGCGCAGAUAUCAGGAGGAACACCGGUGGCGAAGGCGGCUCUCUGGAACGCAACUGACGCUGAGACGCGAAAGCGUGGGGAGCAAACAGG
rnacentral:rRNA from 1 species